rnacentral:lncRNA from 1 species
ACAGCUCUAACCCUAACUCCUAUUUCUCCUACAAAUCAUCCAUUCACUUGAAUCUUCAUUUGAACAUGUCCCUUCCAAAGCAAGUCACGAUUUUCCUUGCUCAAUCCAUCACAUAGGUGCAUUAACUUGCACGAAAUUCGCGCAGCUGAACCAAUGAUUGAAAGCCUAACAGGACCCCGCAUUUUGGGUUACAUAAACUUCCGCCCUGCAAAUCCAAUAGCAGAAUCAUAAUUUAAUUAAACCAUUUCCUUCACUAACACCCCAUUUUAGCUUAACAAGAAUAACCAAUAAGUUUCAUUUAGAAUUAAGUAUAGAAAAUACCUUACAAAUUAACCUAACUUACUAUAUCCUAACAUGUCUUUCUUCCAUAUUAACUCUAGCUAAGACUUGGUCCUGAGUUCAUAGCUAAGUUUUGUUUUGAUCACCGGCUCAGUUAACCUAACCAAAUCCUAUUUAACUCAAGCUAAUUGAUUCACACGAGCAUGGAAAGCAGAACCUGCAGAACGUAUCUACUGCAGGUCAUCAUUUGAUCCGCAGGAUAGUCCAACAAUUUAAACUUCCAUUUCACUAAUAUAUCUAACAUUAACAUCUCUAACAUGAAUCCACUAGCAUUGCCUACAAGUUACAUUCAAAAACCAUAAUUUCACAACAAUCUCAAAACCACAUAAAUUCAUUCUGCAGGAAUUGCUUUACCGUCCAUUUAACAUUUAAUAAUUAAAUCCAAAUGCAUUUCCAUUUAAUAGAAAUCUCAAUUUCUAAUUAACUAUUGCAUUUCAUAUGAGUUUAGAGUUAAUUUCAUUUAUAACAGAAUUGGGAAAAUAUAUGAAUACAAUACCAGUUUUCACAACACCUUUUUUUUCAAUAUUUAAUCUAACAGCAAAGCCAAGUAAUAUUUCAAAUUCCAAACAGAUUUCAUCUUUUACUUCAAUUAAAAAUUUCUAACAAUUAACAGAACAACCAAAUCUAACCACAUUUUGUCUAGCAGCUGGCAGUGUAAUUCAAUUUGCAUUUCAAGUUUCAAGUUCUAAUUCCUAACAGAAUUUUCACAAUUAAUUCCUAACAGAAUUUUCACAACUAAUUCCAACAGAAUUUCUAACAGACUCUAACAGAAUUGAGAUGAAAAAUCCUAUAAAUACUUAGAUGCAACAAUUCUCCUCAUUUUUUAAUGGAUUCGUCAAACCUUGCUCCAUUCCAUAUGAGCAAUUCAAACCUUGCUCCAUUCCAUUUUCAGUUCAUUCUUAACCUUAGUUCAUCUUCACUAUCCCUCGUCCUCACCCUUACCAAAGCUCCGCCGGAAAGCCAUUGAAGCUUUGGGUGGAAGCUUCAAUCGCUGAGCUAAGACUCAACAGUCCGCAACAUUCUUUUCAACCGGUAUUCCUUCAAUUCGACACAGAACACGGCGUAAAAGGGUGUUUCAAAAUCACACAAGAAGAAGGAAAAUGGAAGUGAGGGGAAGAAGAUCGCACAAGAGAGAAAGAGAAUUACCUGCGACAUCGACGACACCGAAACCUCCGCAUCGCUUCAAUCCGGUAGGUUGUGCUCUCCAUAAUUCGUAGUUUAUUCUUAUUCUUGUUGCGACAUCGUUCCAAUUCCAUU